rnacentral:rRNA from 1 species
AUUGAACGCUGGCGGCAUGCCUUACACAUGCAAGUCGAACGGUAACGCGGGGCAACCUGGCGACGAGUGGCGAACGGGUGAGUAAUGCAUCGGAACGUGCCCAGUAGUGGGGGAUAGCCCGGCGAAAGCCGGAUUAAUACCGCAUACGACCUACGGGUGAAAGGGGGGGAUCGCAAGACCUCUCGCUAUUGGAGCGGCCGAUGUCAGAUUAGGUAGUUGGUGGGGUAAAGGCCUACCAAGCCGACGAUCUGUAGCUGGUCUGAGAGGACGACCAGCCACACUGGGACUGAGACACGGCCCAGACUCCUACGGGAGGCAGCAGUGGGGAAUUUUGAACAAUGGGCGCAAGCCUGAUCCAGCCAUGCCGCGUGCGGGAAGAAGGCCUUCGGGUUGUAAACCGCUUUUGUCAGGGAAGAAAUCUUCUGGGUUAGUACCUCGGGAGGAUGACGGUACCUGAAGAAUAAGCACCGGCUAACUACGUGCCAGCCGCCGCCGUAACAC